GUAUCAGUUGAUGAGCAAAUACUGCAACAAUAUGAUGGAGAAAAUCUUCAUGAUUCUUAGUAUUUAAGUCUCUGAUGAUC
rfam:Eutrema salsugineum unplaced genomic scaffold scaffold_2, whole genome shotgun sequence.